rnacentral:rRNA from 1 species
GGGUUGUGAGGUUAAGCGACUAAGCGUACACGGUGGAUGCCCUGGCAGUCAGAGGCGAUGAAGGACGUGCUAAUCUGCGAAAAGCGUCGGUAAGGUGAUAUGAACCGUUAUAGCCGGCGAU